GAGAGAAAAAAACUUAAUUUAAUAGCCGAAUUUUUGAUCCCGAAUUUUUAAUUGGUGAACGUAUAAUAUCCGUAUAAAUCUCGUAUCCGAAUAAUUGACGAAUCCGUUUUUUAGCCGUUUUUUUCAACGAAUUUAAAAAUUAGAAGACGAAUUUUAUCCGAAUUAUAUCCGUACCGAAUUUUUGCCGAAUCCGAAUUAACUAACUAUGGUUUCUCUCGUUCUUUUUUUUUUCUCGCCGGCAGAGCGGAGGCGGAGCGGAGGCAGAAACGGUCCGUCUCGCCUCUCACCCUCAUGCUCUUGCCCUCGCCCUUGCCCUCGUCCAUGCACCCCCCACCUUCCUCGCCUCCGACCCCGCCAAGGCCGCGCCGCGACUUUUUUUUUUUGCUUUUUUCUUUUCUUUUCUUCUUCGACUCUUCUCCACCGUCUCCGUCGACGACGCCUCUCGCCCUUCCCCGCCCUUCUCAUCUCUCCCUCUCCCUCAUUUUCUGCCGCCUUCGACGAUGAUUUAUUUUCGCCGGCGCCGACGUCGACACCGUAGAGGUCACUGUGGCGCUACAGCCUGAGAGCGGGGGGUCCUUAGCGGCGUCGUCACCGGCACUGUAGCUGUUGGCAGAGACGGUGACAAAAAAAAUUAUAGAAAAAAUAAAAAAAAAUAAAGAUAAAAAAUUAUAUAAAAAGAAGGAUGAAAAUGAAAUUGCAUCGUUAAUUACAAAAAAAUUAUAAGUUGCAUUAUUUAAGAUGUAAACUGCUGCUUUAAGAUAAAAAUUAUACUCUUUGAACGAAAAUUAUACUAUUUUUUAUCUUAAACUGCAUCCUUUUAAGUGAUAUUUAUACUGUUUAUCCUCUUGUUGUAUGUUUCUCCUCUUGUUGCACUAUUUCUCCUCUUGUUUACAUAGAAAUGAUGCAACAAGAGGAGAAACAGUAUAAAUAUCUCUUAAAAUGGUGCAGUUUCUCCUCUUAUUGCAUUGUUUUUUCUCUUGUUGCACUAUUUCUUCUAUUGUUUACACAGAAAUCGUGCAACAAGAGGAGAAACAGUACAACAAGAGAAGAAACAGUAGAUAUAUCUCUUAAAACAGUGCAGUUUUUUCUCUUGUUGCACUAUUUUUUCUCUUGUUUAUACAGAAAUGAUACAACAAGAGGAGAAACAGUAUAUAUAUCUCUUAAAAUAGUGCAGUUUCUCCUAUUGUUGCACUGUUUCUUCUCUUGUUGCACUAUUUCUUCUCUUGUUUAUACAGAAAUGGUGCAACAAGAGGAGAAACAGUGCAACAAGAGGAGAAACAGUAGAAAUAUCUCUUAAAAGAGUGUAGUUUAAGAUAAAAAAAUAAUAUAACAAGAGAAAAAAUGGUGCAACAAGAGGAGAAACAGUAUAACUUUUGUUUAAAGAGUGUAACUUUCAUCUUAAUGGAUGCAGUUUACAUCUGAAAGAGUGUAAUAAGAAGAGAAACAGUGUAAAUAUCUCUCAAAGAGUGUAAUUUUCGUUUAAAGAGUAUAGUUUUCAUAUUAAAGCUGCAGUUUACAUCUUAAGUAGUGCAACUUAUAAUUUUUUUUGCAGUUAACGAUGCAAUUUCAUGUUCAUCAUUCUUUUAUAUAAUUUUUUAUCUUUAUUUUUUUUUCUGUUUUUUCUAUAAUUUUUUUUGUCAUUCUCUCUGCCAACAGCCACGGUGCCGGCGACGACGCCGCUAAGGACACCCGCUCCGAGCCUGUAGCGCCGCAGUAACCUCCACGAUGUCGACGUCGGCGCCGGCGAAGAUGUAUCGUCGUCGGAGGCGGCAGAGAAUGAGGGAGAGGGAGAGAUGAGAAGGGCGGGGAAGGACGAGAGAGGCGUCGUCGUCGGAGACGGUGGAGAAGAGUCGGAGAAGAAAAGAAAAGAAAAAAGCAAUAAAAAAAAAAAGUCGCGGUGCGGCCUUGGCGGGGUUGGAGGCGAGGAAAGUGGGGGGUGCGUGGAUGAGGGCAAGGGUGAGGGCGAGGGCGAGGGCGAGAGAAUGAGGGUGAGAGACGAGACGGACCGUUUCUGCUUUCGCUCUGCCGGCGAGAAAAAAAAAAGAACGAGAGAAACGAGAAGGAAAGAGAAAGAGGAAAGAGAAAAAGUAAAAAGGGUAUUUUGGUCAGUUUGUUGAAAAAGCGGACCGAAUCUAUAAAAACGAAAAAGAUGGCCCAAUUUUAUAAAAUUCUAAAAUAAAUAAAUUUUUUAUGCAAAUUGACCAAAGAAAAAAAAAGAAAAAGAAAAAGAAAAAGAGACCCAGCAAAUGCCCACACUGCCACACUGCCACACACCAACCAUUAAACACAACCACCUACAAAAUCAAUUAACACAACACACACCUCCCUCUAGGGCUGGCAAAUGAGCGAGCCGGCUCGCGUUCGACUCGCGUUCGACUCGAUAUUUGGCUCGCUCGAGCUCGACUCGAAAUUAAAUGAGCCGAGCUUGAACAAAAAAAAAAGCUCGAAAUUCAUUUCAAGCCGAGCUUGAGUAUUACUCGGCUCGUUCGAAUUAGGCUCGAAAAGCUCGAAAAGCUCGAAUAUAUAUAUAUAUAUAUAUAUAUAUAUAUAUAGUAGAGCUACUAUGCUAUCGAAAGUAUAGAGAUAUGGUGCUUUCGAUUUUUUGAUUCUUAGAUCAAUCCCUUUAAUCGUUUCUUAUCUUUGGAUUAAUAUUAUUAUUACCUUGUAGGGACCACUCAAUCUUCUAAUAGUAUAUUUAAUACCUAGUGAGACCCAACAUUCUCAAACCAUAAAAUUUUAUAAUCAAAGGGUCAAAACUUUCCAAACAUCAAAUCCUCUGAUAUUUUUCGUAGCAUAGUAGUCCAUACAUUAUAUAAUAUAUAAAAAAUAUAUAAAAUAAGUAAUAAUUUUAAUUAUAUAUCAGGCUAGUGAAUAAUCUGAGUUUAGUUAAAAUUGGACCAAUGUUAUUGGCACCAUAAAAACAAUAUAUAAUAGGACAAAUAGAAAGGAGCAAAUCUAACUAAAUUUAUAUAUAUUCUUUUCUGUCUUUUACAUUCUUUCUUUACAGAGCUCUAAAUUUUACAAAAUAGUUUCUCUUCUUUCUCUUUUUCUGUCUCUCACCGCUAAGUGGCCCGAAGCGGGAAGCCCUCUAAGUUACCCAAGUAACAUCCAUAUGCCGCUGUUGCCUUACCUUGCUAUUAAUUGUAUACUUGAGAAAAAAUAUACGGAUAUUUUUUAAAUAAAAAUUUACUUAUUCAUAUAAAAUUUUAUUUUAGUAUCAUAUUAUUAGCAUGUUAAAUCCAAUAUUUAAUAUUAAUUUAUUUAUUUUGACUUGCAAUAAGAUGAAAUAAAUUAAAAUGAGAUUUGAAGGCGGAAGUAAGAUAUGUGAGUUUGAAAAAAUUAGACAUAUUCAACUCACUAAAUUAUAUUUUUUUACAUUUAUAAUGACUAGUAUUUCAUAUAAUUAUUUUGUACUUUGAACUAUUAGAAUAUUUUGAUCAAUUAUAGAUAAUGAUUCUAUACAAAUUAAGACUAUUGAUCGUAUAAUGUUGAGAAUUUCUAAGACGGCUCGUUUAGGCGACUCGCUGAUAUUCGCUGACUCAAAAGGUCUAGCUCGGCUCGAAUUAAUUUCAAUCAAGUUUGAGCUUAAAUUAGGUCGAAAAUUAAUUUCAAGCCGAAAUAUUGGCCGAGUAAGCUCGCUCGAGCUCGGCUCGUUUCCACCCCCCUACUCCCUCCCCCUCUCUCUCUCUCUCUCUCUCUCUCUCUCUCUCUCUCUCCCUGAGAUGGUAUAGGACUACAUCUUGUCAGAAAGCUAUGAUGAAUACAUUAAUCCCAUGCAGCAGUAGCAGUUGCAGUAACAGUAGCAGCAGUAGCACUCCUCUCUGCCUCGUCCUAUUGUUACUUCUGCUCUCCAUCUCAUGCACUACUGCUCGCUCGCGGGACACGAUAACUGUAGACAGUCCGCUCGCGGAGAACGAGACGCUCGUCUCCGCGGGCGGCUACUUCGCCCUCGGCUUCUUCAACCCCCCAAACAACCCCGACCGCUACAUCGGCAUCUGGUACAACACCAUCCCCACGCAAACCGUCGUCUGGGUCGCCAACCGCCUCGACCCCGUCGACGCCUCCCCCUCCUUCCUCUCUCUCUCCCCCGACGGCAUUCUCACCCUCUCCUCCCCCAACUCCUCCACCCCACUCUCCACCACCGCAACUACCUUAACCAACCCCGUAGCCCAACUGUUGGACACCGGUAACUUCGUCGUGCGAGAAGCGACCGACGGCGGCGAUGCGGCCGCGUGGCAGAGCUUCGACUAUCCGACGGACACGCUGAUAGCCGGGAUGAAGCUGGGGGUUGACCGGCGGCGGGGGCUGAACUGGACGCUGACCGCCUGGCGAAGCGGGUCGGACCCGGCCCCGGGCGAGUACUACGCGGCGAUGGACACGGCGGGGGACCCGGAGGUGUUCCUCUACUCCGUAGCGGGUCGGGCGCGGAUCUGGCGAACGGGCCCGUGGGACGGGGUCCAGUUCAGCGGCGUCCCGGACACGGUCACGUACCAGGACUUCGCGUUCACGUUCACCAACGACGCCGACGAGGUCUCCUACAGCUUCAACGUCCUGAACCGGUCCAUCAUCUCCCGGCUCGUCGUGAACCAGACCGGGGUCGUGCAGCGGUCCAUCUGGCUCGCGUCGGGCCGGGUGUGGAACAUCUUCUGGUACGCGCCGCGGGACCCGUGCGACGACGUGUCCGCCUGCGGGCCCUACGGGCUGUGCGACCCCAACGACUCCCCCAUGUGCAGCUGCGUGCAGGGGUUCGAGCCGCGGUCGCCGCAGGACUGGGCGCUGCGGGACGGGUCGGGCGGGUGCGUGCGGAGGACGCGGCUCGACUGCGCCAACCGCACCGACGGGUUCGCCAAGGUGAGCCACGUGAAGCUCCCGGACACCACGAACUGUACGGUGGACCCGACCGUGGGGCUCGACCGGUGCGCCGCCAGGUGUUCGGCGAAUUGCUCGUGCACCGCCUACGCGGCCGCGAAUGUCAGCGGUGGGGCCCGGAGUGGGUGCGUUAUGUGGCACUCCGAGCUCACCGACAUGCGGGUCUACGUAGGCACGGGGCAGGAUCUGUACGUACGCUUGGCCGCGGCUGAUCUAGGUACGUACACGUACGUAUAAUAUACGUGCUAUCUAUUUAUUUAGUAAAUUAUUUAUACUUGCAAAUUGAUAGCUAUAUAAUACAAUAUAUAUACCCACACACUCGGAUUAUUCUCCUGCAUUUUCUUCGGAAUGGUCCCACAUAAAUCUCAGUGCUUGAUUGAUGAUCGAUAAAGACGUCUAAUUAAUCAGCUAUUUCAUGUAGCCAUCCUUAUCUAGUCAUAGUCUAUAGCCUCUCGCCAGCUUCUGAAAUUGUUUUUGUACUAAGAUUAAUUUUUUUGUUUUAUUUUUUUAGUCUUGUACGUAGAAACAAAUUACUUGAAAUCUGAAGCUAAUUAAUGCAAACUGUAUUACGAGAAAACAAUUUUACUUUGAGCUUGAAAUAGGAAGCUGAAAUAAGUUCGUAUGUUUUGAAAUCUAAAAGCUAAUUAUCAAGUAAGCAAUUUUAAGAGCAUUAAAACAAAAGGUUAAGGUUAAUUACUAAAUUUUUAUCCUUAAACAAAAUAGUUUGGAGUGGUUGGGUAUCAAGAAGCACAUGAUGUUCGAUAGAAGCCAAAAUUCAACGAGGGUAGUAAACGCCAAAAAAAAAAGCAGCAAAUGGGUAAUGUCGGCAACUGCCUCUACUGUAAUUGGCUUGGAAUGUAGCAUCGGCGCCGACUUAUGACACAGCCGUGCACGUCUUCGCUAACCAUUAAUUUUCCAAGAUUAAUUUGUUAAGGUUUACAAUGACUUGGAAUAGAAACUCUGGCGUGCCGUACCAAAAAGUUGUUGAGACUGGUCGAUGUGAACGAAAAUGUGUCGAUUAUAAAUCCAGUUCGACUUAAACAGCACAAAUGCAUGCAGAUCGAAGCUCUAGUCAUGCAAAUUAAUGAGCCCAUAAAUAGAUCACUUUAUAUGUAUUGUGUACCUGGAAAAUUGAGAAUUAUAUAAGCUUCAGAUUUAGAUCCCCUUGUUUUAUAGAGGAGGCUGAUCUUGUCCAAAUUUGAUUCGACCCCCCUACUGUGAUCACCUUUUGGUAGGGUAAAAAAUGAUUCAGGAUAACAUUUGAUUUACUUAGUUUCUAGUUAAUUUAAUUAGGGUGACAAUUUGAACUUAUAAUAAUUGCCAUGUAUAGCCAAUUAAAUUUCUCUCAUGUGCUUCAUAAAGGAGAAUGGAAUAUUCUAGACCAAAUCCGAAACACUUUUUUUGUGUUCCAUUCUUAAUAGACCCAGCAAGGCACAUGUGGCAUAUUGCUUACCCUGCAGUAUAAUGUGGUCCAAACACACUAAUUUAGUGACUGUAAUAAUCACUUGAACAACCUGAGUUGCAUCACUGUUUGUACAUAUCUCAGUAGCUGAUAUGAGCUGUUAUGAGAUUUAAAAGGAAAAAGUACUGUUGCCUUUAAUUAUUUAGCUUCACUAUCAAGCUGGACCAUGGUUUUAGGGCCUCUGUGGCCUUUUAUGGACCAUGUGAAAGCAUCUAUAUAUAAUGAUGAUAUAUAGGGCUUGAUCUGUAGGAUUGUAGUUUUUUCAUCAAAAUAAUUCCAAUAGCUUUGCAUUGAAGCUAGAAGAAGAAACUAAUGCAGUAGCUAGGUAAAGAGAAAAAUCCUCAGUGAGAAAUAUAGCUAAAGCAAGUACAUCUAUGUUUGAUGGGAGAGUGAUCUUUGGAUAGUGUCUUUCCAUCUUAUUCCAUGGACCUAAUUACUAUCCGCAAUAUUAGCUAGCCUAUAGGGAUCGAUGUUUGGGCUAUCCACUUUCGUGUUCAGAUCGAUUCGAGAAAUUUGCAUAAUAUUUGAUGGAAUAGCAGGGAUGUUUGUUGAUGUCUCCGCUUUAUCCCUCGACUGAACACUGCCUCAACGAUGUUUGGACUUUGGCAUCUAAUAGCUCAUUUCAGCUUCUCACUUAACCAAAAUGUGUUGGACAUUUCGUAAAAUCUAAUCUAGAAGCUGGCCAAACAAAAAUAUAUUACACCUCAAACAAGAUGUGGUUUUCCUUUGAUUAAUUGGAAUAUAUCUUCGCUUAAAUGAGAAGAUAUGGUGCUAAAUUAGGAAUGUCUACAGGUUCAGCCCCAAGCCAGUCUGGCAAGAGUGAUCAUGCACCCAUUGCACUCAUUGUAGGCCUUACUGUAGUGGCAUUCCUACUAGCAUGUGCUGGUUGCUAUAUCUGGAGAAGAAGGAAACUUAGGAAAUCAGGUAAUAAAACUGCUAAUUCAGUACACUUUCAAUAUUGUUUGGAAGCCCAAAUGAGUAUAAAUGGAAAUUAUAAGACAAUUAUUAACCGAUUGAAUAUACAGGUCCAGGCACGUCGGCGAGUACUAUUUCCUUCAGCCAUGAACAGCGCAAGGAGGAAAGUAUUCAAGAUAGUGAUAUAGAGUUGCCAUUAUUUGAUUUGGGCACUAUCGCGGUUGCUACUGAGGGGUUCUCUAACACAAAUAAACUCGGAGAAGGUGGAUUUGGACCAGUUUACAGGGUUAGUUUUUAACCUUUCAUUAACUUUCACAGUUGUGAUGGUUAUGAUUCUUUAAGUUGAGAGAUUAAUUCUGGUCAAAAAAUACAAAUCAGUCACUAUUCUGACAUUGCUAAAGAACCAACUGUAUCUGAAGCUGAAUCUACUCUGUAAUAUAAAUACGUUAUAAGAACUUGGAUUUUCGUAUACAUGAUGUGAAAGUGAGAUGCACUAAGAAAACUUUUGAGGAUGUUUUACCUGAUAGCUUAGGCAUUUUGAAGACCUGCUUAAUGAAUACAUGUAUGAUUACAGUUGAGCAUUUUUAUGAUAAAAAAGAUCUAGUCUUACAUGAUCUAUUUGAAUUAUUUAUGUCAUAAUUGACGAUCAGGGUAAGCUUGGCGACGGACAAGAAAUAGCUGUGAAAACGCUUGCAAAAACUUCAGUGCAAGGUCUCGACGAGUUCAAGAACGAGGUCAUGCUGAUAGCAAAACUUCAGCAUAGGAAUCUUGUUAGGCUACUUGGUUGCUGCAUCCAAGGAGAGGAGAGGAUGCUUAUAUAUGAAUACAUGGAAAACAAAAGCUUGGAUAUGUUUUUGUUCGGUAAGUCCACGCCAUUCAUUCUAAAUGCCUUCUUACUUUGUUUCUACACUAUAAUUUCGACAACGUAAUAUUUUGAUGAAAAGUAAACAGUUUGAGAAUUUUAGCAGAUAAAGCUUACAGCGCAUCACUAAAUUGGCAAACGCGGUAUCGGAUAAUUGAGGGGAUUGCUCGAGGGCUUGUUUACCUUCACCAGGAUUCAAGAUUUAGAGUUAUUCAUAGAGAUUUAAAGGCUAGUAAUAUUCUUCUUGAUAAGGAGAUGAGCCCCAAAAUCUCAGACUUUGGCAUGGCACGAAUUUUUGGCGGUGACGAGACCGAAGUCAAUACAAGAAAAGUAGUUGGUACCUAGUAAGUACAUAUGCUUGCAUAUAUACGAAGCAAUAUACUCUUGAUUAACAGUUCAUAAUCCUUAUCGAUUGUAUUUAAUUUUGCAGUGGAUAUAUGUCUCCGGAAUACGCAAUGGAUGGAAUUUUUUCAGUAAAAUCCGACGUAUUCAGUUUUGGGGUUUUAGUGUUAGAAAUUAUUAGUGGAAGGAGGAACAGAGGAGCAUAUGUUGAUUCCUCACACCUUAAUCUUCUUGCUCAUGUAAGUAUGUUUAAACUCAAACAAUUUAUAUUUUAACUGCUACAUUUUCUUAAACUUUUUGGAUUUAUAUUUAUAUACUUUUCGCAGGCAUGGAGUUUAUGGAAUGAGGGGAAGAGUUUAGAACUAGUAGACGAUUCUAUGGAUUAUUCCUUCCUCGCAAAUGAAGUUCUAAAAUGUGCGCACAUUGGUCUUUUGUGUGUUCAAGAGCACCCCGAGGAUCGUCCCCUGAUGUCGGCGGUCGUUUUGAUGCUUGGUAGUGAUGGAGCAUCACUGCCAACUCCGAAACAGCCCGGUUUUGCAAGGAGGAGGAUUCAGCUCGAUACGGAAUCAUCAUCAAGCAAGCAAGAUUCUAUCACGUUGAACGAUAUGACUAUAACCAUGAUCGAAGGUCGAUAGAAGGAACAAUUAUAUGUGUAGUUUGGCUGAAUUUGGUUUCAAUGAGGAAAUGUUAUAUAUUUGAGGUUUUGAUUUCUUUCUUUUCUUUCUUUUCUUUCCCACUUUUUGAUGGUCGGAAAAUGUAUAAAUAUGUUUACAAUCAUUGGAAUAUAUUUUUUUUCAUGUCGAUGAAAUUGAUACCCAAUUAGCUCAAAAACCUUGAAGUUGUGCAAUUGUUACAUACAUCAAAGGAACAACAAUUUUUUUUUGAUUAAACAGGGGUAUACCCUAUUUUAACAAAGUCAGAACAGAGAGUAUAGAAGCAGUCUAGUAAGGCGAAAAAAUGGAACGGCUAGAACGGCAAGAACAGCAUGGGUUGAUCGCAAUCAAGAUCUAGGAGCAAGAACCCAGAAACCAAAAAAAACCAAAAACCAAAAUCAAAGCCCCAAAAACCCCCAAAAAGCGCACACUCCUAGAUGCUGUCCAUGUCCCCGAGUGCGGCUUUCCUAGAUGCUGUCCAAAAAGAACAACAAUUCUUUCUACCAAUAUGAGUACAAUUGAAGUAUCAAACAAAUUCUUGUACACGAGACUAUUUUCGCGGAAAGAACGUCAAAAUAGUAAAAUCAAUUUCUGCAAAACCUCCAAAAAGAAAACAAAAAAAGAGAAAAAAAAGAAAAGAAAAAAAGUUAAUACACAUCUUUAUCUACCCUCUACAAUUAAUAGCUACAGUUACAAUAUUUGCAGUGUGGCCCUGCGACAAUGAUUCUAUAUCCAAAAAGCCCCUGCCGAUACUAAAUGGAGGCUCAUUCGAGCUUUCCCUGAAAAGAACCAACACAUAGUUAUAAAAAUUUCCAUAAUUAUCUCCGCGCACUUUAUAUCUCAACCUUAAUUGAAUCUACACAUUAGUCACAUCGUUCCAAGAAUUAACUACCAUGUAUACAGGGCCAAAUCCACCCUCUCCAAUCCUAUUAGCCAAUGAGAAACUGUCCGUAGGAUCCAAUAUCGCCCCUAGAUCGAAUGUUGGAAGGUUGAGACCUUCAUGAGUACUUGUUUCAUCUUCGAAGCUAUGAUCUUGUGUUGAUCGUACUUCCCAUCUUGAUUCUGAACCCGCGCACGUAUAUGUCGCAUGCAUGUCAAAUGGCAAGGCUUCUCAUAACAACACUCUGUGCCUUCUCUCUACGUUGCCUAGCUUUUAGGAGCAUCAAUUAUUAUGGAAAUUAAAAGCCAACAUGUAACACCCCAAUAGCAUUUUGGCCAAUAGUUUGGGCCUAACAAGUGAUUAUUACUAGCCAGUCGGAUCACUAUAAUUGGUAUCAGAGCCGAAUAGCAGUCAGAAGUCUGAGAGCUAGAUAUUAUGCAAGACAAAAUACUAUACCAACGGGUUUGGUGAGAGCCGCCUAUUGAAUCAGUAGAAGCCACUUCUAGAAUCUCACAUCGCCCGGUAAUAUUCUGGUUAGUCUGUAAUCUGAGCUUGGACCUGAUGAGAACGUCAUGAUUUAAACAUGCGAGUUUAUAAUGUCUCAAUAGUCUCGCAUCGGAUGAAAAAAUAAUUUUGGUUAGAAUAUAUGAAGGCUCAAAGAUAGUAAUAAUAACUGGGUUUAAACAUUUAGACUAGUAAUUUGGAUCCAACAAGUUAUUAUUAUUAGCUGGUCGGAUCGUCACAAUUAUUAUUAGAGACCAGACAAUCUGUCUGUAAUCUGGCACAUACAGUAUAUGACCACCAUGCAUCAAAAUGCUUUUCCAAUGAAAAUUGUAGUUCCUUACGAGGCUAGCUCACUCUAUUCUCCAUGAUCUUAUGCAAGUUCUUAGAUACAAAUUAAUCAAGCCCAAAAAUAUAUAUAAAAAAUAUCCCUCACUUCUUUUGGUAUUUCCUUUUUCUUUUAACUUUUUUUUGUGUCUUUUAUUUAAUGCUUCUUCUCCUCAUUUUUCUCGCUUUUCUUCAUCAUCUCCUCCUCUCUUUCAUGAGUGGAGUCACCGACCGAUAACAAUCUAUAAAAACUCACAACUUACACAAGGAUAUAUCCUCAUUCCGGUGCGUACGAAAGUGUGAACUCUUCAUUAGAAUAUUUAUUAUAAUCUAGUUAUAUUUAUACUCUAAUUAAUAUUUAAAUUUUAAUUUAUCUCUAAUAGAUUUAAAUAUUAAUUUUUAUCUAAUUAAAAUAUUAACUACAAAUCUAACCACUACCCAAAUCUUAACAAGUGGGACGUGACGUAAAUGGUAAUUGUUUCCCGGAAAGGAUAAGGCCAUGAGUCUUAAUUAAUUGUUGGAUGGGAGUUGAUCGAUGACCCAUGAGUAUUGACUUAUACAGAUUAAUAACUUGCUCAUUUAAUUAAUUGGCCCGCUUGUAUGUAAUUAAAUUCUUCAAGCAUUUUCUUAUUAUAUAGUAUUAGAUAUAUGAGAAAUUUUCACAUCACAGUACCGUUUCCUUUUGGUUAUUAUUGCAACCACACAUUGGGCUACUUAAAAACCCGUUUACUUUAUUUGACUUCUCUAUGAAGUUGAUAAUAAUUUGACACAAAGCUACAUACACCAAUGACAUGUCUUCAAUUAAUUUUUGGCCAUUGAUUUCCAGCAAUAUUGCAACGCUGUUACAUAUAGUUAGCUUACGGUUUAUAACCAAGUCAUUAGUAUCUCAAUAAUAAACACCGAAGUAUAUAUUUAGAAUUGUGGGUACGCAAGAUUUGAGGUGAAAAAAAAAAUUUAGGCCUGUUUGGAUGCACAGUAAAAAAUCUCCACGGGAUUUAUAAACUGUGGUUUUGGUCCAAAUAAAAUAAAGAAUUCUGUAACUCUAAAAAAAUUCCACGGAUUCAAUUUUUAAACUGUUUGGAUGCGCAUUGUGUAAUUUCACGGGAUUUCUCUAAAUUUUAAAAUUAAAAGUUAAAAUUUCAAAUUUUAAAUUUCAAAUUUCAAUGAAAAUUAAAAUUUAAAAUUUGAUAUGUGAAAUGCGAAAUUUUAAAUUUUGAAAAUUAAAAAUUAAAAAUAUAAAAAUCUAAAUUUAAUUUUAAAAUUUUGAAAUUUAAAAUUUUAAAAUAAAAAAUUUUAAAUUAAAAAAUAAAUUUAAAAUUUAAAGUUCAAAUUUGAAAUUUGAACUAUGAGAUUUGAGAUUUAAAAUUUGAAAUUUGAAAUUUAAAAUUUAAAAUCUAAAAUUUAAAAUUUAAAGUUUAAAAUUUAAAAUUUAAAAUUUAAAAUUUAAAAUUUGAAAUUUGAAAUUUAAAAUUUGAAAUUUAAAAUUUGAAAUUUAAAAUUUAAAAUUUAAAAUUUGAAGUUUAAAAUUUGAUCUGUGAAAUUUAAAAUUUCAAAUUUGAAUUUCGAAAACUAAAAUUUAAAAUAAAAUUUGAAAUUCUAAAUUUGAAAUUUGAAAUUUGAAAUUUAAAAAUUAAAUUUGAAAAUAAAAAAUUUAGAAUUAAAAUUUGAAAUUAUGAAUUAAAAAAUUUAAAAUUUGAAAUUUAUUAUUUGUAAACUAAAAUUUAAAACUUGAUAUUCGAAAAUUAAAAUUUGAAUUUAUAAAAUUUAAAAAUUUAAAAUUUAAAAUUUGACAUUAAAACUUUGAAAUUAUAAAAUUUAAUUUUUGAUAUUUCAAAUUUAAAAUUCAAAAUUUAAAUUUGAAAUUAAAAUUUUGAAUAUAAAUUAAAUUGUAAAAUUUAAAAUUUGAAAUUUAAAAAUUAGAACUUGAUGCAACUUUGCCCAAAAAUGGUGGAAUUCUUUUUUCCUUUGGUUAGAGUGGAUUAUAAUUUUACUCUAUUUUUUGCUGUAUAGUUUAACUAUACUCGAAAAAUUACGGUAUAUUUUUUUUUCUCCCAAACGCUUUAUAGGAUAAAUUUUCCUACCGGCGUAGUAUAGUUUAACUAUACUACAUUUUUAAUGGUAUCCAAACAGGGCCUUAGCAAUUUAUAAGAAUCUGAAAAUUUAGAUUUUACAAAGAUACAUUAAUUUGUGUGGGACCCUAAGGCUGCGUUUAGUUGGAGAACUAAAUAACCUCUUAAUUAUAUAGUCAACUUAAUUAUAUAGUGAAACGUUUUAAAUAAUCUUAACAUUCCUGCUAGCACGUAUAGUUGAUAUCUAAUAAUAAAUAUUCUUUUAAUAUGAAAAGAGUUUAAAAUCAAUUUUAAUAUUAUUAUAUUAUCUAAAAGAGUAAUCUUGCAAAUAAAUGAUCAUGUAUUUUGGCACUUCAAAGGUCAUAAAUACAUAAUAGCUACACUAUCCUACUUCCUUUUUUAAUGGAAAUCUUAUCUUAUAUAGAAGAAAAAAAAAAAAAAAACUUUUCUAGCUAGUAUACCUCUCUUAAAGGGAAAAAAUGAAUACAUUACUCCCAUGCAGCAGCAGCAGUAGCAGUAGCACUCCUCUCUGCAUCAUUCUAUUAUUAUUUCUGCUCUCAAUCUCAUCCAUUACUGCUCACGCGCGGGACACGAUAACAGUAGGCAGCCCGCUCGCAGAGAACGAGACGCUCGUCUCUGCGGGCGGCUACUUCGCCCUCGGCUUCUUCAACCCCCCGAACAACCCCGACCGCUACGUCGGCAUCUGGUUCAACAACAUCCCCACGCAAACCGUCGUCUGGGUCGCCAACCGCCUCGACCCCGUCGCCGCCGCCGCCUCCCCCUCCUUCCUCUCUCUCUCCCCCGACGGCAUCCUCACCCUCGCCUCCCCCAACUCCUCCACCCCACUCUCCACCACCGCAACUACCUUAACCAACCCCGUAGCUCAACUGUUGGACACCGGUAACUUCGUCGUGCGAGAAGCGACCGACGCCGGCGAUGCGGCCGCGUGGCAGAGCUUCGACUAUCCGACGGACACGAUGAUAGCCGGGAUGAAGCUGGGCGUGGACCGGCGGCGGGGGCUGAACUGGACGCUGACAUCCUGGCGAAGCGGGUCGGACCCGGCCCCGGGCGAGUACUACGUGGCGAUGGAAACGGCCGGGGACCCGGAGCUGUUCCUCUACUCCGUAGCUGGUCGGGCCCGGAUCUGGCGAUCAGGCCAGUGGGACGGGGUCCAGUUCAGCGGGCUCCCGGACAAUGUCCCGUACGGGGACUACGUGUACACGUUCACCAACAACGCCGCCGAGGUCUCCUACAGCUUCAACGUCCUGAACCGGUCCCUCAUCACCCGGGGCGUCGUGAACCAGACCGGGGUCGCACAGCAGUCCAUGUGGGUCCAGUCGAGGCAGGUGUGGAACAUCAUCUGGCACGCGCCGCAGGAUCCGUGCGACGAGAUGUCCCCCUGCGGGCCCUACGGGCUCUGCGACCCCACCGUCUCCCCCAUGUGCAGCUGCGUGCAGGGGUUCGAGCCGCGGUCGCCGCAGCACUGGGCGCUGCUGGACGGCUCGGACGGGUGCGUCCGCACGACGCGGCUCGACUGCGCCAACCGCACCGACGGGUUCGCCAAGGUGAGUCACGUGAACCUCCCGGACCCCACGAAUUGUACGGUGGAUGCGACCGUGGGGCUCGACCAGUGCGCCACCAGGUGUUUGGCGAAUUGCUCGUGCACCGCCUACGCAGCCUCGAAUGCCAGUAGUGGGGCCCGGAGUGGGUGCGUCAUGUGGUACUCCGACCUCACCGGCAUGCGGGUCUUCCUAGCCGAGGGGCAGGAUCUGUACGUACGCUUGGCGGCGGCUGAUCUAGGUACGUACGCAUACGUAUAAUAUACGUGCUAUUUAUUUAGUAAAUUAUUUGUAUUUGCAAAUUGAUAUUGCUUUGAACAUUCACCCACCCGCCCACUUGGAUUAUUAUGAUGCAUUUUCCUUUGGAAUGGUCCACACAAGUAUCAAUACUUGAUUGCUGAUCGAUAAAGACGUCUAAUUAAUCAACAAUUAAUUUCAUGGUACCUACCGUUAUCUCGUCGUGGCCUCGCUUCUGAAUUAGUUAUUGUACUAAGUCUUUUUUUUAGUGUGUGGUAGAAACAAAUUACUUGAAAUCUGAAGUUAAUUAAUGCUAACAUUAUUAUGCGAAAAUGAUAUUAUUUUUUAUCUUGAAAUAGGAUGCUGAAAUAAGUUCACCGGCGGGGUUUUUUUUUUUUUUUUUUUUUUUUGAGAGAUAGAUAGCACACUAUCUGUUUCGUUUAUUUCAUUUAGAAAUAAACUUCGUUGGAAAUAUGAAUCAACUAGGAUUCGCCGGUCGUGUAUUUCCAUCUUAUUCCAUUGACUUGAUUACUAUCCGCAAUAUUAGGUAGCCUAUAGGCGUGUUUGGGCUAUCCACUAUUGUGUUCAGAACUUCAGAUCGAUAAUUGACAAAUUCGCAUAAUGUUUGAUGGAAUAGCAAGUUGUCUCCAUAUUAUCUCUCGACUGAUCACUGCCUCAAUGAUGUUUGGACUGUGGCAUGCAAUAGUUCAUUUCAGUUUCUCACUUAAGCCAAAAAGUGUUGGGCAUUUUGUACACAAUAUACAUCUAGAUUCACCAGUAGAUAAGCUAAUCCAGAAGCUGGCCAAACAAAAUAUAUAGCACCUCAAACAAGAUAUGGUUUUUCCUUUGAUUAAUUGGAAUAUAUCUUUGCUUAAAUGAGAAGAUAUGGUGCUAAAUUAGGAAUGUCUACAGCUUCAGUUACAAGCCACUCUGGCAAGAGUGAUCAUGCACCCAUUGCAGCCAUUGUAAGCGUUUCUGUAUUGGCAUUCUUACUAGCAUGUGCUGGUUGGUAUAUUUGGAGGAUGAGGAAACUUAGGAAAUCAGGUAAUAAAACUACUAAUUCAGUACGCUUUGUUUGAAAAGCCCAAAUGAGUGUAAAUGGGAAUUAUAAGACAAUUAUUAACUGAUUGAACAUACAGGCCCAGGCACGUCAGCGAGUACUAUUUCCUUCAGUCAUAAACACCGCAAGGAGGAAAGUACUCAAGAUAGUGAUAUAGAGUUGCCAUUAUUUGAUUUGAGCGCUAUCGCAGUUGCAACAGAGGAGUUCUCUAACACAAAUAAACUUGGAGAAGGUGGCUUUGGACCAGUUUACAAGGUUAGUUUUUUGACCUUUCAUUAACUUUCAGUCCUGAUGGUUAUGAUUCUUUAGGUUACAAGAUUAAUUCUGGUCAAAAAAUACAAAUCAGUCACUAUUCUGACAUUGCUAAAGAACCAACUGUAUCUGAAGCUGAAUCUACUCUAUAAUAUAAAUACGUUAUAAUGAACUUGGAUUUUCAUAUACAUGAUGUGAAAGUGAGAUGCACUAAGAAAACUUUUGAGGAUGUUUUACCUGAUAGCUUAGGCAUUUUGAAGACUUGCUUAAUGAAUACAUGUAAGAUUACACUUGUCUUUUAAGAUAGUAAAGAAUUAUUUGUCAUAAUUGACUAUCAGGGUAAGCUUGGCAACGGACAAGAAAUAGCUGUGAAAACGCUUGCGAAAACUUCAGCGCAAGGCCCCAAUGAGUUCAAGAAUGAGGUCAUGCUAAUAGCAAAACUUCAGCAUAGGAAUCUUGUUAGGCUACUUGGUUGCUGCAUUCAAGGAGAGGAGAGGAUGCUUAUAUAUGAAUACAUGGAAAACAAAAGCUUGGAUAGGUUUUUGUUCGGUUAGUCUACGCCAUUCAUUCUAAAUGCCUUCUUACUUUGUUUCUACACUAUAAUUUUGACAAUGUAACAUUUCAGUGAAAAGUUAACAGUUUGAGAAUUUUCGCAGAUAAAGCUUACAGCGCAUCACUAAAUUGGCAAACGCGGUACCGGAUAAUCGAGGGGAUUGCUCGAGGGCUUGUUUACCUUCACCAAGACUCAAGAUUUAGAGUCAUUCAUAGAGAUUUAAAGGCUGGUAAUAUUCUUCUUGAUAAGGAGAUGAACCCUAAAAUCUCAGACUUUGGCAUGGCACGAAUUUUUGGCGGUGACGAGACCGAAGUCAAUACAAGAAAAGUAGUUGGUACCUAGUAAGUAUAUAUGCUCGAUCACAUAUAUAUAAAACAAUAUACUCUUGAUUAAGAGUUCAUAAUCCUUACUGAUUGUGUUUCAUUUUGUAGUGGAUAUAUGUCUCCAGAAUACGCAAUGGAUGGAAUUUUUUCGGUAAAAUCCGACGUAUUCAGUUUUGGGGUUUUAGUGUUAGAAAUUAUUAGUGGAAGGAGGAACAGAGGAGCAUAUGUUGAUUCCUCACACCUUAAUCUUCUUGCUCAUGUUAAGUAUAUUUAACUCAAACAAUUUAUAUUUUAACUGCUACAUUUUCUUAAACUUUUUGGAUCUAUAUUUAUAUACUUUUCGCAGGUAUGGAGUUUAUGGACCGAGGGGAAGAGUUUGGAACUAGUAGACGAAUCUAUGGAUUAUUCCUUCCUCGCUAAUGAAGUUUUAAAAUGUUUACAAAUUGGUCUUUUAUGCGUUCAAGAGCACCCCGAGGAUCGUCCCCUGAUGUCGGCGGUCGUUUUGAUGCUUGGUAGUGAUGGAGCAUCACUGCGAACUCCGAAACAACCCGGUUUUGCAAGGAGGAGGGUUCCGAUUGAGAUGGAGUUUUCGUCGAGCAAGCAUGAUUCUAGAACGUUGAAUGACGUGACUAUAACCAUGAUCGGAGGCAGAUAAAAGGAACAAUUAUGCAUGUAGUUUGGCUGAAUUUCGUUUCAUGCGGAAAUGUUAUAUAUUUGAGGUUUUGAUUUCUUUCCUUUCUUUCUUUUCUUUCCCACUUUUUGCUGGUAGGAAAAUUUAUAAAUAUGUUUACAAGCAUUGGGUUAUUUUUUUUCCAUGUUGAUGAAAUACCCAAUUAGGUCAAAAACCUUGAAGUUGUGCAAUUAUUACAUACAUCAAAAGAACAACAAUUAUUUCUACCAAUAUGAGUACAAUUGAAGUAUCAAACAAAUGCUUGUACAUGAGACUAUUUUCACGGAAAGAACGUCAAGACAGUAAAAUCAAUUUCUGCAAAACUUCCAAAAAGAAAACAAAAAAGAGAAAAAAAAAAGUUGACACACACCUUUAUCUACCCUCUGCAAUAGUUACAGUAACAAUAUUUGCAGUGUAACUCUGCGACGAUGAUUCUAUAUCCGAAAAGCCCCUGCCGAUACUAAAAUUUCAGGCUUAUUCGGGUUUUUCCCUGAAAAGAACCAACAAAUAGCUAUACAAAUUUCCAUAAUUGAGUCUGCACAUUAGUCACAUCGUUCCAAGAAUUAACUACCAUGUAUACAGGGCCAAAACCACCCUAUCCAGUCUUAUUAGCAAAUGCGAAACUGUCCGUAGCAUCCAAUAUCGCCCCUAGAUCGAAUGUUGGAAGGUCGAGAUCUUCAUGAGUACUUGUUUCAUCUUCUAAGCUAUGAUCUCGUGUUGAGCCCUUUCUAACUUGAUUCUGGACCCGCGUAUCAUGUCGAAUGCAUGUCAAAUGGCGAGGCUUCUGAUAACAACACUCUGUCUCUGUGCCUUCUCUUUAUGUUGCUUAGCUUUUAGGAGCAUCAAUUAUGGAAAUUAAAAGUCAACAUGUAAAGCCGCAAUAGCAUUUUGUCCAAUAGUUUGGACUUAAUAAGUGAUUAUUACUAGCGGGUCAGAUCGUUAUAAUUAGUAUCAGACCCGAAUACCAAUUUGAAGUGUAAGAGCUAGAUACUAUGCAAGACAAAAUAUUAUGCCAACGGAUUUGGUGGGAGCCACCUUUUAAACCAGUAGGAGCCAACUCUAAAAUCUCAUAUCGCCUAGUAAUAUUUUGGUCUAUCUGUAAUUCGGAUUUGAAUAUGAUGAAGACAUCAUGAUCUAAACAGAGGAGUUUGUAAUGUCCCAAUAAUCUCACAUCGAAUGAAAAAAUAAUUUUGGUUUGAAUAUAUGAAGUCUCUAAGCUAGUAAUAAUAACUGAACUUAAAAAUUUGGGUUAGUGGUUUGGGCCCAACAAGUUAUAUAUUAUUAUUAGCGGAUCGGAUCAUCACAAUUAGUAUCAAAGACGAACAUAACCGGCAAGAAAAUCUUACAACCCGGAUAAUUCUGAUCUAUCUGUAAUCUAGCAUACAGUACAUGACCACCAUCAAAAUGCUUUUCCAAUGAAAAUUGUAGAUCCUUACAUGGCUAGCUCGCUCACUCUAUUCUCCAUGAUCUUAUGCAAGUUCUUAGAUACAAAUUAAUCAAGCCCAAAAAAAUAUAAAAAUCGUAAUUGUUGCCCGGAAAGGAUAAGGCCAUGAGUCUUAAUUAAUUGUUGGAUGGGAGUUGAUGACCCAUGAGUAUUGACUUAUACAGAUUAAUAACUUGCUCAUUUAAUUGGCCCGCUCGUAAAUUCUUCGAGCAUUUUCUUAUUAAUUAGUAUUAGGUAUAUAUACGAGAACUAGUUCAAGACAUUUUCACAUCACUGUACCGUUUCCUUUUGGUUAUUAUUGCAACCACACAUUGGGCUACUUGAAAACCCUUUUACUUUAUUUGACUUAUUUAUGAAGUUGAUAAUAAUUUGACACAAAGCUACAUACACUAAUGACAUGCCUUCAAUUAAUUGUUGGAAAUUGAUUUCCAGCAAUAUGGCAACGCUGUUACAUAUCGUUAAUUAGCUUACGGUUUAUAACCAAAUCAUUAGUAUCUCAAUAAUAAACACCGAAGUAUCUAGAAUUGUGGGUACGCAAGAUGUGAGGUAAAAAAAAAUUUAGAACUUUAUAAGAAGCUGAAAAUUUAGAUUUUGCAAAGAUACAUUCAUUUGUGAGAACGAAUGUGUUUUUAUAUCAAAGAUAAGAAUCAUCUUAAUUAUAGUGAAAAGUUUUAAAUAGUCUUAACAUUUCUGCUAGCAAGUAUAGUUGAUAUCUAAUAAAUAAUUUCUUAAUAUGAAAAGAGCUUAAAAUAAAUUUUAAUAUUAUAUUAUCUAAAAGAGUAAUCUUGCAAAUAAAUAUCAUGUAUUUUGGCACUUCAAAGGUCAUAAAUGCAUAAUAGCUACACUAACCUUCUUCCUUUUUUUAUUGGAAUCUUAUAUAGUAAACUUUUCUAGUAUACCUCUCUUAAAGGAAAAAAAAAAAAGAAAAAAGAAAAAAAAAGAGACCCAACAAAUGCCCGCGCGCCAACCCUGUAAUGCUACGAUGAAUACAUUACUCCCAUACAGCAGCAGCAGCAGCAGCAGCAGCAGCAGUAGCAGUAGCAAGCCUCUCUGCACCAUCCUAUUAUUACUUCUGCUCUCCAUCUUUUUCAUUACUGCUCGCGCGCGGGACACGAUAACUGUAGGCAGCCCGCUCGCAGAGAACGAGACGCUCGUCUCCGUGGGCGGCUACUUCGCCCUCGGCUUCUUUAACCCCCCGAACAACCCCGACCGCUACAUCGGCAUCUGGUACAACAACAUCCCACCGCAAACCGUCGUCUGGGUCGCCAACCGCCUCAAACCCGUCACCGCCUACCACUCCUUCCUCUCCCUCUCCCCCGACGGCAUCCUCACCCUCUCCUCCCCCAACUCCUCCACCCCACUCACCACCACCGCAACUACCUUAACCAACCCUGUAGCCCAACUGUUGGACACCGGUAACUUUGUCGUGCGAGAAGAAACCGACGGCAGCGAUGCUGCCGAGUGGCAGAGCUUCGACUAUCCGACGGACACGCUGAUAGCCGGGAUGAAGCUGGGCGUGGACCGGCGGCGGGGGCUGAACUGGACGCUGACAUCCUGGCGAAGCGGGUCGGACCCGGCCCCGGGCGAGUACUACCUGGCGAUGGACACGGCGGGGGACCCGGAGAUGUUCCUCUACUCUGUAGCGGGUCGGGCGCGGAUCUGGCGAUCGGGCCAGUGGGACGGUGUCGAUUUCAGCGGGCUCCCGGACAAUGUCACGUUCCGGGACCUCGUGUCCACGUUCACCAACAACGCGGACGAGGUCUCCUACAGCUUCAACAUCCUGAACCGGUCCAUCAUCACCCGGGGUGUCGUGAACCAGACCGGGGUCAUACAGCAGUCCAUGUGGAUCCAGUCGAUGCAGGUGUGGAAGAUCCUCUUUCACGUGCCGCAGGAUCCGUGCGACGAGAUGUCCCCCUGCGGGCCCUACGGGCUGUGCGAACCCAACGACUCCCCCAUGUGCAGCUGCCUGCAGGGGUUCAAGCCGCGGUCGCCGCAGAACUGGGCGCUGCUGGACGGCUCGGGCGGGUGCGUCCGCACGACGCGGCUCGACUGCGCCAACCGCACCGACGGGUUCGUCAUGGUGAGCCAAGUGAAGCUCCCGGAAGGCACGAAUUGUACGGUCGACGCGACCGCUGGGCUCGACCAGUGCGCCGCCAGGUGUUUGUCGAAUUGCUCGUGCACCGCCUACGCAGCCUCGAUUGCCAGUAGUGGGGCCCGGAGUGGGUGCGUCAUGUGGUACUCCGACCUCACCGGUAUGCGGGUCUUCCCAGGCGAGGGGCAGGAUCUGUACGUACGCUUGGCGGCGGCUGAUCUAGGUACGCACACGUACUUACUACAAAUAUACGUGCUUUUUAUUUAUUUACUUAUUUAGUAAAUUAUUUAAUUACUAGUUAAGGGAUCCGCGCGAUGCUGCGGAUUAUUAUUUUAAAAUUUAAUUUUAAAAAUUAAUUAUGAAAUUAAUUUCAGAAUUUAAAUGUUACAAUAAGUACAUCAAAAAAUUUUAGUAGGCAUAGUAGUCCCCCAUUAGUUAGUGAAAUAAUUUUAGUAGAUAUCGUAGUCCCCCAGUAAUUAGUGAAUAAGAUAAGAAAUCAUUGUUUGUGAUUCUCGCAAUUAAUUUUCGUCAAAUAUAAAAUUAACUUAAGCUGCAUUAAUUUUUUUUUUAUUUUUCAAUGUACAAUUUAUAUGUGAAUGUUCAACAGCUCAAUAUUAUAAAAUUAAUAUUUAUAUUUAAUACCAGUAGUCUAAAUUAUUUAACAUUUAUUUAGGCUAAAUUACAGAAAACCUCACUGUAAUAACCCACUUUUUCACUUUCCCUCCCUGACAUUUAAAAAUAUACACUUUGCCCCCUUAUAAAAUGAAAAAUGUGCACUUCACCUCCUACCGUUAGGGUUCCGUUAUAAAAUAUUUUUUAUGCCGAAAAUACCCCUCCGCCCUCUUCCUUGUUGCUUCGCCUCCCUCCGGCUCGCCACCUCGGCCCCGCUUCGCUGCCUCGCCGCCUCGCCGCUUCGCCAUCCUCCACUGCCUCGCCCUCGCCCUCGCCCACCAUUCCCUUCGCCUUCCUCCGCCGCCUCGCCUUCGCCUUCGUUGCCCUUGCCUACCUCUCCAUUAACACCCACCUCGAUUCCCUCUUACUAUUGUCGAAAUCGAGAGGCUGCGAGGGUGCAGGAGGAGAAGGGGAGCAGGUGGAAAAGGAAAUGGACAGAAAUCGCAGUCGAAUGAGGUGGGAAUCGCGGCCGAUCGAAGGGAUGGCUGAGGAAGAUGAGGAAGAAGACAAAAAUGGCGAGGGCAAAAUGAUCAUUUUACACACCGUAAUCCCCUGUAAACAUUUUUUAUUUUAUAAGGGGGUAAAGUGUAGGUUUUUAAAUGUCAGGAAAAAAGUGAAAAAGCGGGUUAUUACAAGAAAGUUUUUUGUAAUUUAGCCAUUUAUAUAUUUUAUAUUUUACAAAAAUAAAUAGUAAAUUAUAUAAUAAAUUAUUAUAUAAUAAUAUAUCUAUAUACAAAUAAAAUACUAUAUAUAUUAAAUAAAUAUUUUAAUAAAUAAAUAUAUAUUUAUAAUAAAUACUUAUGUAUAAUAAAUAAAUAUAUAUUUUAUUAAAUAAAUAUAUAUAUAUAUACAUUAUAUAUAUAUAUAUAUAUAUAUACUAUAUAUAUUAAUAUAUAUUAUUAUAUAUAUAAGAGAAGAGAGACGAGGAUGAACGGAGAAGGGAGGUCACCGUGGAGCUUCCCUCUCACGUGGUCACGAGGCGAAAAUUGGCCUCGUUGGACCGCGAUAAAAGCUAAAAGAGCCGUGAUUUUUUUUUUUCGGACUUCCGCUGCUCCGAGUCAAUGGGCGCUGCUGCGCCUGGCCCGCACCCCUGUGCACCCGCUGUCGCCGUAACGUGACCCGGCACGCUGACCCUGGGCUCCUAGAUCCACGUGCUCUCUGCGAAGGCGAUACAUGCUACUUGUGUGAACCCGUUAGGUUGGAGGGACAGUUGUUCGGCGGGAGUCCGACUCACCCGUGGCGCGGUUUCCCGCGGCUCAGGGGGUCUCGCUGCUGUCAAACCUAUAGCCAGCGGGCCUCUAGAUUGCCGUUUCAGAGACACGCGGGCGUUCGCGCUUUACGCGCAGCGCGAUCGAAUUUUCCUAGAUCCCUGCUCACGGCCGGUCAUGGGCGUCGGACGUCUUUUGCUCUCUCCGGCUGAAGCGAUGAUAGUCUCGCGCAUCGUAGGGUCCCUCGUCCGAUGCUUGUCGUAAUCUUUGCCUAUCUGGGUGUUAACAGUCCGUCGUGCAUGUACUUGUAAAUGUUUGGAGAAUUCGGGCGGUUAAGCUCCACUUUCGCAACUUCAUCCAAUUGAAGUGGCCGUCUACAUUUGCGCAGGCGUGUGACACUAGCUAAAUUAAGGUGCCCACAUCUGAGUGGAAGAAAUGGGGUGUGUGUAUAUGUGGUGUUUUUAUGAUGUGAGGUUCUUAUGUAAAAUUAUUAAUAGUAAUAAUAUCGCAACCUUGGUUGAAGCAUUUUUUGGGUAGUGGCUUGGACCAUCUCCUGGAAGUCAGUUGUUGUGGGAGGUCGAGCCUGUCUCGAGGUUGAUAUGUAGUUUGCUUGGUCACUUGCCCAACGAAUUAUUUGUUGCUAAGUGGGCUGGGUCGUUACAUUGGUAUCAGAGGCCGUUCACAUAGUUGGACAUGCUGUAUCGAUGUCCUGGCUGAGUCAGGGUCUAGAUACGGUGCUAGCUAGACGAACAGUCGCUACAUCGCCUGGUGAUUCUUUGGGCUGUAUGUGUGUUGGGACUGACUGAGUGAACGUCAGGCGGGGCGUGGAGUAUGAAGGGAAGAGUCUAUUGACAUCAAUAUAAUGAUCGCUACAUUCUGGAAUGGCGAGGUAAAUGGAUCUGUGCUCGCGCAAAAGUGAUUGAUUACAAUCGGGGUUGUCGGGUGUGCUUUGUCUUGAUAGGUGAGUUUAUAAUGAGACUGUUCACCUGUAGUUAUAAAGACUCGCAGCGACUCGAAUUGAUCUAUUGUGACUGUGCGAGUCCUUAAGCUUUUUGGGGCUCACCAGUCAAAGUAGUGUGGGAUAGGUUACGUAAGGAUGCGUGGUUCGGGGAUUUCGUAUAUCACGAUACCAAUAGCUCCCAUAUCGCGACGUGUAUGUGUUCUGCUAGUGGGCUGUCUGUUACACAGCUCCGUCGCCGCCGGGGCUUCCGGCCGGCCAACGCUUUAAGCAACCACUAGUCUUUGGCCAUUGGUCGUGAUAGUGAAUAAUCACGCAUUUCACACCGGAAUAGUCACUUGGAUUCGCGGAUCGGUGCUAGUUUUCAACUGUUGGAGAGUUAACAUUAGCGAACAGAUCAGUAUUCUUUUUCGGGCCCUAAAAGCAACUUUAGUCUUUGUCAUCUUGGUGCCUCGGAUGUAUUAGAUAGGUGUCGGAUGUGGCAUUUGAGAAUUUCUUCUUCUAGUGCGAUUCGCGGUACCACAGCUCGUCGGAAGGUAGUGCAUUUUAUAUAAGAUACAUAAACAAGAUACCUCAGAUAGUUUAAUAGAUUCAUAAGAUUUUAGACUUAUAGAUUUACAUAGAAUAUCUUGUUAUUUUAUAGUCCAGAUAUCUAUUAAUCUAAUGGCACUCUCUCCUUAUUUCUAUGUCAUUUUCUAUUACCAUUUGGAUAUCGUAGGGUUGCACAUCAAAGUUCAUCAGUCUCCAGAGGUAAUCGGAGCACUCAAAUCGAACCGCUAUUCUGCUCGAUAAGGCGGUUGAGUAUACCCGAUGUGAUAUUAGUUUAUUAUCGUGACUAGUGUUUUUUUUUAGUGUUUCGUUGUCUUCGAAGAAUUAUAUACUUAGAUUAGUUGAAAUUCUUUGAGCUAGGCGGGUGUUCUAUAUCCGUUAUACAGUUUAUUAUUUAAAGCGCGGUUUUGCGGCUGAAAGGUAAUUUUCGGGUGGGUAACUUGUAAUGUAAAAUAUAUUGGUUGGUAGAUCACCAUCUGCGAUUUGUGAACUCGUGUAUAUUCUUAAAUUUUUGUAAUUGUGUGACUAUUGGAAUCUUUAGAAAUACCUAAUUUUGCAUAGUUAUGUUAUCGGUCUCUCAUAUUCUUAUAGCAAGAAAGAGAGCAUAUUUCUUGAAAUCUUGAUUUCUGAUCCGUACGCGUUAACAAAUAAUGGCGCAAUAGCUUCAAUUGCUGGUUUAUAUGUUACGUAAAAGCUAUUCAAUUUAUUCAUGAGUAGUGAGUUUUGUUUAUUUUUUAAUUUCUAAUAUACUUGUGUAAGAAGUUAAAUGUGUUAAUUUUAAAUUUUCAAUUUUCUAUCUCCUAUUCGAAUUUUUAAUUGUUCUAAAUCUAAUAAAAUCUUUAGAAAUUGAAUAAAUUAAUAAACGAUUUCAACAUGUUAGAAAUGUUUAAUACAAUUUCUAUCAACUAUUUUCACAUUUCAAUGUCUAAAUUUUUCAGAUUUUAGUAAUAGUUUAAGAAUCUAAGAAGUUAUGUGGAUAUAAGUUGCAGAGAUAAGAUGAUUUUUCAUAUUAGUUAUGAAAGUGUUUAUGUGAGUUUUUAAAUUUAAAUGCUAUCAAAUUAUAUAUAAAAUUUUGGUUAACCAUUACUUGUAAGUGAAUAUGUAUGAAUUUUUUAAUCUAAAUUGUAAAUUUUAAAUUUUAAAAUUUAAAUUUUAAAUAUUUCAAUUUCUUUAAAGUUGUGUAGAAAGUUUAAAGUAGUAUUCAAAGAUUUUUAUACGUAUUUAACUAUUUAAAAUUUCUCAAUUAAAUAUAUUUAUAAAUGUAAAAUUUAAAAUUUUAAAAUUUAAAUUUUUGUAGAUUUAAAAUUUUAAAUCCGGCAGCAGAAUCUCGAAUUCCAUAUAUUUUAAUAUUAAAGUGAAAUAUUGUGUUCUAUAUUUAAUUUUUCAUAAUUAUUUAUAUUUUUACUUUAAAUUUUAAAUUGGUAAUUUUUUUAAAUUUCAAGUUGUCUAAUUGUUUAGAUAUUUACUAUUUGAGUUUUUUCUAAUAAAUUUUACCUUAGAAGUUUAAGAAGGUUUGCAGGAUUUAUAACUUUGAUAUUUCCGAAUUAAAAAUUAGUGUUGGUUUAUAAUAAUUAAGAAACAUUUAAAAUUCAGAUAAAUUUAAUAAUUUGAAUUUUAGUUUAAAUUUAAUAUGUAAAUAUUUAAAUUUUUAAUUUAAAAUAUAUAAUUUUUAAUCCUCAAAUUGUAAUUUUUAAAUUUUAAAAUUUAAAUUUUAAAUAUUAAAUUUAAAUUUUAAUUUAAUAUAUUCAAAUUUUAAAUUUAAUAUUUUAAAAUUUUAAUUAUUUAAAUGUUAAAAUUUAACAUUAUUUUUAAAUUUUGAAAUUAAAUUUAAAUAUAUUUUAAGUUAAUAUUUUAUUUUAAAUUCAUAAUUAUUUAUAUUUUUACAUUUAAAUUUUAAAUUUUAAUUUUAAAUUCAAAUUUUAAAUUUAGAUUUUAAAUUUUAAUUUUUAAAUUCUAAAAUUUAAAGUUUGAAUUUAAAUUUAAAUUUAUAUUUUUAUAUAUUAAAAUUUUAUAUUUUAAAAUUCAUAAUUAUAUAUAUUUUUAAAUUUAUAUUUAUAUUUUUAAAUUUUAAAUUUCAUAAUUAUUUUAAAUUUUAAAUUUUUAAAAUUUUUAAUUAUUUUUUAAAUUAAAAAUCAAAUUUUAAAUUUUGUACAAUUUUGAAAUUUAAAUAUUUUAAUUUUAAUUCACAUUUAAAUUUAGAUUUUAAAUUAUUUUAAAAUAAAAAUUAAUAAAAAUAUUAAUUUAUGUAAAUAUUAAAAAUAAAAUUACCAAACAGCUUUUUGAAAUCUUUUCAGGAAAAUCACUUUUAUCUAAACUCUACCAAACGCUCUAUAGCCUUUAACCAAAAUUACUUCUCCAAACCAAAUUCACUUUUUCAGAAAUUAUUUUUUCAAAAGCUAGGCUAAACAGACCCUAAUUAAGAAAUCUAAAAGCUAUUUAUCAUGUAACUAACUUUGAGAGUAUUAAAACAAAAAUUUAAGGUUAGUUACUAAAUUUUUCUCCUUAAGCAAAAUAGUUUGGAGUGGAACAUAUGAUGUUCAAUAGAAGCCAAAAAAUUAACAAAAGUGGUAAAUUUUUUUUAAAAAAGCAGCAAAUGGGUAAUGCCGGCAACCGUCUCUUCUGUAAUUGGCUUGGAAUGUAGCAUCGGCGCCUACUUAUUAGACAAUCGUGCACGUCUUCGCUAACCAUUAAUUUCCAAGAUUCGUUAAGGUUUAUAACGAUUUCUUGUGUAAUGACUUGACCAGUAGCAAUAAUAAUUUGUUCGGCUCAAAUUACUGGUCCAAAAUACUUAAACUCAGUUAUUAUUAUUAGUGUUCAGAUCUCUUAUAUAUUCAAUUAUAAUUCUAUUUUCAUCAUAUAUGUAGAACUGUUGGGUGUCAUAGAGGAAUGGAAUUAUGAUUGGAUAUAUAAAAGAUCUGGACACUAAUAACAACUAGGUUUAAGUAUUUUAAGUCGGUGAUUUGAGCUCAACGAUUUAUUAUUACUAGUGGGUCGGAUCGUUACAUUUCGUAUUAGAGUCAAUCACUAACCGAAAAUGUAAAAUGAAUCUUGGCCGAGGUAGAAUCAGAAUGACAGACUAAGCCAAGAUCAGAAUGAUAAGGUGACAAACUAAGCAAAGAUCGAAAUGAUAAGUUUAGCGAGACAAAUCUCAUAUCGCCUAACGAUCUUGGAUUGUGUGUGUCAUUGAGUUGAGAGAAUGUUAUGGUCUAAACGGAGGAAAUCUGUGAUACUCUAAUAAUUUCACAUCGGAUAAAAAUAAAAUUAUUAUUGGAUAUAUAAGAGACCUGGAUACUAAUAAUAAUAACUUGGUUUAAUCAUUUUGGGCCUGUGGUUUGGAUCCAACGAUUUAGUAUUACUAAUGGGUCGGAUUGUUACAUUUGGAAUAAAAACUCUGCCUGUCGUACCGAAAAGUUGUUGAUACUGUUCAAUGUGAACCAAAAUGUGCCUUUAUUUAGCUGCACUAUCAAGCUGGAAAUAUUCUCAUAGGUUGAUAAAAUGGUUUUGGGUCCUCUAUGGCCUUAAUAUAUGAAUUGUGUGGGUUUUUGUCCAGGUGGCAGCACAAGGUUGAGGGCAUAUUUUUGUUUCACUAAAACGGAACUUUGGGUUGAAGUGACGUUCAGUGAAAACUAUUUCUUCUCUGUUGUUUGUUUCGUAAUUAUGGAAGUGAAGUUUUAUUAAUUCUGCUGUUUGUUUGGUAAAAAGUGUAUGAUGUAUAAUGAAUAAUUUAAUAAAUAAAAAUAAUAUAAUUAUAUUUUUUUUAUAUAAUUAAAAUUUAAUUUACAACAACUAAAUUAUUUUUUUAUACAUAAAUUAUAGUAAUGCAACAAUAAAAUUAUAAAUUCUUAAUUAAUCAAUUUUUAUCAUAUUUUAAUUGUACAAACUAAAUAAAAAAAAUUAAAACUUAACUAAUCAAUUUUUAUCAUAUUUUAAAUAUGCCAAAUGAAUAAAAAAAAUAAUUAGUACUAUAAUUAAAUAUAUUUAAAUAUAACUAUUUUUAUCUAGUAUAUUAUUUAUUAUUUUUUUUCACCUUUCGUUACUGUAAUUGACUUCGGCCCAUACGCCAUUUCAGGUUAACUGAAGUUUCGACCGCAAUUUUUUUGCGGCGAAACAAACAACGAAAGUGAUCGUUUAUGAUGAAAACGACUUACCCCCUCUCCCCUUCCACCUCACUUCCACCCAAACAAACAUGCCCUGAGUGGAGGGGUGGGGUGGGGUGGGGUGGGCUUUUUCUUCUUUUUUUUUUCAACCUGAUUUUUUUUUUCGACGAACAAGAAAAAAAUAUAUAAUUUUUUUUAAAUUAUUCAUUAAAAAUUAUGAAGUUCAUUGUCAUAUGGAUAUUAGAUUUUAUAUUUCAAGAUAAUUCGGUAAGGUAGUUAAAUUAUUUUUUCAACUAUUAGCCAAUUCAUUUUUUUAUAAAAAAAUCAUUAACUAAAAAUCAUCAUAAUAUGCACAAAACAUAAUAAUAAAAAUUUUUAAUUUUUUUGGUGAAUAAUUAAUUGUACUCUAAUCAUUGUAGCAAAUAAAUUAUAAUUUUUAUACUGAAAACUCAAAAAGAAUUGCUAAACCUUAGGGUGUUCAAUAUUUUAUUUUUGUUGAAUAAUAUUUUGGUUUCUUCUUUCUACUAAAAACUCAAAAGAAUUAUCUAAGCUUUAGAAUGUGGCUUAUAGUAUAAUAAAUUAUUUUAAAAUUUUGUAUUAUAUGUAUUAUAUCAUAUUAUAUUUUACACUAUUAAGCUUUAUAGGUCAGAUAUAUUUAAUAAAAUUUUGAUAUUAGAAUAUUAGUUAUCUAAUAUAAGUUGUGGUAUAUAGAAUAUUAAUGUCCACCAAGUGUAUAUAAUAGUUUUUUUCUUUCUCCAAUCAAUUUUAACAUGAUAAAGACAUCUCACAUAUUCUUCAACUUCAACUUUAACUUUUUAGCUAAAAAUUUAUUUAUAGAAUAGCUAUCAAAACUAUUAAGCUUGAUUGACUUUUUUUAAAUAAAAUUAUUACAUAAUUUUACUCUGCAAAUAAUGAAAGUUAAGGAAGUAUUAAUAACAAUUAUUCUUUAUAAUGUAUAUAUAAGAAUACUAUACUUUUUUUUUGCAUAUUUUUUUAACUAUAAUUUUUUUUAAUUUUAAAAUUNUAUUUUACACUAUUAAACUUUAUAGGUCAGAUAUAUUUAAUAAAAUUUUGAUAUUAGAAUAUUAGUUAUCUAAUAUAAGUUGCGGUAUAUAGAAUAUUAAUGUCCACCAAGUGUAUAUAAUAGUUUUUUUCUUUCUCUUUGCAUAUUUUUUUAACUAUAAUUUUUUUUAAUUUUAAAAUUUAAAUAACUAUAUAUUUUAAUCGGUUGAAAUACUAUCUAUCCACAGCGAAGCGCGGAUUCUACACUAGUAUAUAAUGAUAGGAUUGGAUGUGUAGGAUUGUUAAAAUUAUCCUGCUUUUUCUGUUUUUAAGAAUAUUAGUAGUCUAGUUUUUUUGUCAAAAUAAUUCCGAUAGCUUUGCAUUGAAGCUAGAAGAAGAAACUAAUGCAGUAGGUAAAGAGAAAAAUCCUCAAUGAGAAAUGUAGCUAAAGCAAGUACACCUAUGUUUAAUGGGAGAGUGGUUUGGUUAGGGGAUAGGAAUAGGAAUAGACCCUUAUCCCCUCUUUAUACCCAAACACUAAUUUUUUACCUGAGAAUAGUAGUUCUCGGUUAUUCCCACCAACACCUCCAUUUUCUAUAUAAAAUUAUCUAAAAUUGUUCUUAUUUUCGGAAACAACCCAAUUUUCAUCCAAACACUAUUUUUCUUAUCUCCAUACUUGUAUCUAUCCCUGUAAUAAUUAGUUCUUGCUUAUACCCGAACCAAACGGUACCUAUAGUGUAUUUCCAUCUUAUUCCAUGGACUUGGUUAAUGGUUACCAUCCGCAAUAUUAAUUAGGCAGACUAUAGGGAUGUUUGGGCUAUCCACUUUUGUGUUCAGAUCAAUUCGAGAAAUUCGCAUAAUGUUUGAUGGAAUAGCAAGUUGUCUCCAUAUUUUCUCUCUACUGAUCACUGCCUCAACGAUGUUUGGACUGUGGCAUCUAAUAGUUCAUUUCAGUUUCUCGCUUAAGCCAAAAGGUGUUGUUGGGCAUUUUGUACACAAUACAUCUAGAUUCACCAGCAGGUAAGCUAAUCCAGCAGCUGGCCAGACAAAAUAUAUAGCACCUCAAACAAGAUAUGGUUUUCCUUUGAUUAAUUGGAAUAUAUCUUUGCUUAAAUGAGAAGAUAUGGUACUAAAUUAGGGAUGUCUACAGCUUCAGCUACAAGCCACUCUAGCAAGAGUGAUCAUGCACCCAUUGCACUCAUUGUAAGCCUUUCUGUAGUGGCAUUCCCACUAGCAUGUGCUGGUUGCUAUAUUUGGAGGAGGAAACUUAGGAAAUCAGGUAAUAAAACUACUAAUUCAGUACGCUUUGUUUGAAAAGCCCAAAUGAAUGUAAAUGGAAAUUGUAAGACAAUUAUUAACGGAUUGAACAUACAAGCCCAGGCACGUCAGCGAGCAAAGAGGAAAGUACUCAAGAUGGUGAUAUAGAGUUGCCAUUAUUUGAUUUGAGCGCUAUCGCUGUUGCAACGGAGGGGUUCUCUAACGCAAAUAAACUUGGACAAGGUGGCUUUGGACCAGUUUACAAGGUUAGUUUUUAACCUUUCAUCUUGCAUAAAAGAAUCAAACUUCUUAUACCAUUGUCUAGAUGCUUGCUUUAAACCAUAUAAUUCUUUUUUUAAUUUACAUACUAAAUUAGGAUUAGCUUCUAUAAAGCCUUCGGGUUGAAACAUAUAAUUUCUUCAUCCAAAUUACCAUGCAAGAAAGCGGUUUUAAUAUCAAGUUGCUCAAGCUCAAAAUCCAAAUUAGCAACCAAGGAUAAAACAACUCUAAUUGAGCAAUGCUUAACAACGGGAGCAAAUAUUUCAUUGAAAUCAAUACUUUGCUUUUGUCCAUAGCCCUUAACAACAAGCCUUGCCUUAUAUCUCUUGGAUCCAUCGGCUUCAUUCUUGAUCACAUAAACCCAUCGAUUUUUCAAUGCUUUCUUUCCGACCGGAAGCUCCACCAACUCCCAAGUAUGGUUUUGAUGUAAGGAAUCCAUCUCAUCCUCCAUUGCCCUUUGCCACUUUGCUUUUUCGAAGCAAUCUUUUGCUUCCUGAAAACACUCGGGCUCACACAAAUCAGUAAAUAAAGCAUAAUAUAAAGAAGGAGAAUAUCUUUGGGUGGGUUAAUGUAGCCUAGUUGAUCUUCUCAAAUCAUGUGCCGGCGGGGUAGACAUAUCGUUCUCACUCUCAUGAGAAUCAUGCCGACUUUCACUAGAUUGUGUACUUUCUUCAUGAUCAACAUUAUCAUCAUGACCAACAUCACUAUCAUGAAGUGGAGGAUGAACUUCAUGUAUAUCUUGAGAAGAACCAUCAACUUGUACAUCAACAACAAGUUUAUCUUUCUUUUGCUCUUCUUCCGUGCCUUCUUUAAACAUUACAUCUUCUCUAAACACAACAUCCCGGCUCCGAAUAAUUUUUCUAACAACGGGAUCCCAAAGUCUAUAACCCAACUCAUCAUCUUCAUAGCCAAGAAAUACACAUUUCCUUGCUUUCACAUCAAGCUUUGUUCUACUUUCUUUCGGAAUAUGAACAUAAGCUUCACACUCAAAUAUUCUUAAGUGCCCAUAGGAAAUGUCUUUGCCACUCCACAUAAUUUCUAGAAUGUCUCCAUCUAAUGCAACACUAGAUGAUCUAUUAAUCAAGUAAACGGCCAUAUUUGCCGCUUCGGCCCAAAAGGACUUUGUUAGGCCGGAGUGCGACAACAUACUUCGAAUCCGUUCCACAAUUAUUCGGUUCAUUCUUUCAAUGAUCCCAUUUUGUUGUGGUGUGUAGGGAACCGUCUUCACUCUUUUGAUGCCAUUCUCAAAACAAAAAUCAUCAAAGGCACUAGAGCAAAAUUCACGACCAUUGUCAGUUUGCAAGCACUUAAUAAAAUGGUCACUUUCCUUUUCAACACGGGCUUUGAAUUUCUUAAAAGUUUCAAAAACUUGAUCUUUUGAAGCCAAAGGAUAAAUCCAACACUUUCUAGAAUAAUCAUCUAAGAAAGUAACAAAGUAGUAUGCACCUCCAAGAGACUUAAUAUUGAAAGGACCGCAAACAUCGGAAUAAACCAAUUCCAAUUGCUUGACCUUUCUAUGCAUCUCAUUUCUUUUAAAGUUAACUCUAUAUUGUUUUCCCAUAAUACAAUAUUCACAAAAAUCAAAAAAUGAAUGCUCAAAGGAAAGAAUAAGUUUAUGUUCUUGUAAUACCUUCAUACCAUGCUCACUUAGAUGACCAAGCCGAUUAUGCCAAACUUGCAUAUUUUCGCCUUUGCUUGCGGUAGUAACCAUCAAAUUUGAAUCAUCACCCUUUUGAGCGGUUCCAUGAAGUGUAUAAAGACUUUCAUCCUUUUGCCCUUUCAAAAUAGUCAUGCUACCCCUUGAUACCUUCCAAGAGCCCUUUCCGAAAGUGAUAACAAAACCGGAAUCAUCCAAUUGUUCCGCCGAUAUUAAGUUCUUUGUGAUCUCCGGAACAUGACACACAUUUGUCAAUGUAUGCUUUUGACCAUUUGUUUGCUUUAUGACAAUGUCACCCAUGCCAAUAAUUUUACAUGCCCGAUCAUUACCAAGAUAAACAAAUUCACUAUCUACUUUUUUGUAUGUAGAAAAAUAUGAUCGAUCUCGACAUAUAUGAAAAGAAGCACCGGAAUCCAAAACCCAAGUGUUUGCACAAGAAGAGACCGUGCAAGCAACAUUUAAUGUGACUCCACUUUCACCAUCCGAAGCAUUGUUAGCUUCAUUCAUGACAUCCUUACCUUUACCUUUUUGCUUAUUUUUCAAAGCAUAACAAUCCUUUCUCACAUAAUCCGUCUUCUUGCAAUACCAACAAGUAAGCUUUCUACCAUGUGAUUUUGAUCUUCCUUUACUUUGAGAUCUUCCCUUUGUGUUGGAAUAUUGGCCUCGCUUCGGUGACCUUUCUCUUUCAUCAAUAGUUAGUGCUUGACUCAAAUCACUAGACAAUUGAUUUGUGGCUUUGCGAGUUUCCUCAUUCAACAAUGAAGCAACAAUAUCAUUCAACUUGAAUUUGUUCUCCAUUGUGUUUGCCACCAUAGAAACAAGAGUAUCCCAACUUGAAGGUAAAGAACUCAAAAGUAGUAAACAAAGGACUUCUUCAUCAAGGUUAAUUUUGAGAGACUUCAAUUGUGCCGCAAUAGAGUUGAACUCACUCACAUACUUACGAAUAGUAGAACCUUCUUACAUCUUCAAGAGAAAGAGUCUCUUUAUUGCAUGCAUCUUGAUCACACCAGAAGGUUGCUCAAACGAUUGCUCCAAAGUCUCCCACAAUUCGGAUGUUGUCUUGCAUUGAUAGACAUCAAAUAAGAUCGAUGAUGAAAUGCAUGGUCUAAUCGCCGCCAAACAUUUUCGGUCAAGUAUAUCCCAUUCAUGAUUAUCCAUACUAGUGGGCUUUGCACCUUUUCCCAAUAUUGGUAAAUCAAGCUCUUUUGCAACCAAAUAAUCCUCUAUCCCGAUUUUCCAUACAAGCCAAUUGCUCUCAUUCAACUUCUCAAAUUCCAUAACUUUCUCCAUUUGAAAGAUGAGUGAAUAAAUACAAAUGAAUGCUUAGAUAACCACCAAUCAAGCUCUGAUACCAAUUGUUGUUAAAUAAAGGUGAAAAAUAUGGAUGACAAUUUCACAAAUACUUGGUGGGCAAUUUCACAACCCACUCUCUUUAAGCAUCAAAUGGAGAGCCAAGCACAAGAGCAAUAACAAAAAUAAAAACCACAAGAACACAAGGAUUUAUAUGGUUCGACUAUGCCUACAUCCACGGGAGAACAAUGCAAAAGAAGCUUCCACUAUAAACUUGAAUAUUAUAAGAGAGAUUCAAAUGGGAGAAAUAUCACCUUAACUCCAAGGUAUAAAAGAGAGCUCCAACAAUCUUUAGCUCUAUUCAAAUGGUGUAAAUCACACCUCACAAGGAAGAUCUCACAUCCUUUUUGAUAGAACCAAGAUCAAAACCAAGCCUAGGAUUUUCUCUCUUUUCUCCCACUUUUUUUCUCACUCUCUUAUUCUCUCUCUUUUCUCUCAUAUUCUAAUAUCCCACUUUAGCUCUCUAAGAGAAGAGGCUAACAAUAUGGGCCUUUGGAUCAAAAGAACCAUGAUCCAAAGACUUACAAAUAGGGGCCCACAUAUAUGAUAAGAAAAUAUAGAAAGAGGAGAUUUUGACUUCACCAAAUUACAUAGCCCAAAUAGUAAAGCCCAAAUAGAAGUAGGCCCAAUGUAAUUAGCUCAACACUAGUCUUACAUGAUCUAUUUGAAUUAUUUAUGUCGUGAUUGACUAUCAGGGUAAGCUUGGCGACGGACAAGAAAUAGCUGUGAAAACGCUUGCAAAAACUUCAGCGCAAGGCUCCGAUGAGUUCAAGAAUGAGGUCAUGCUAAUAGCAAAACUUCAGCAUAGGAAUCUUGUUAGGCUACUUGGUUGCUGCAUUCAAGGAGAGGAGAGGAUGCUUAUAUAUGAAUACAUGGAAAACAAAAGCUUGGAUAGAUUUUUGUUCGGUUAGUCUACGCCAUUCAUUCUAAAUGCCUUCUUACUUUGUUUCUACACUAUAAUUUUGACAAUGUAACAAUUUAGUGAAAAGUUAACAGUUUGAGAAUUUUCACAGAUAAAGCUUACAGCGCAUUAGUAAAUUGGCAAACGCGGUACCGGAUAAUCGAGGGGAUUGCUCGAGGGCUUGUUUACCUUCACCAAGACUCAAGAUUUAGAGUCAUUCAUAGAGAUUUAAAGGCUGGUAAUAUUCUUCUUGAUAAGGAGAUGAACCCUAAAAUCUCAGACUUUGGCAUGGCACGAAUUUUUGGCGGUGACGAGACCGAAGUCAAUACAAGAAAAGUAGUUGGUACCUAGUAAGUAUAUAUGCUCGAUCACAUAUAUAUAAAACAAUAUACUCUUGAUUAAGAGUUCAUAAUCCUUACUGAUUGUGUUUCAUUUUGUAGUGGAUAUAUGUCUCCAGAAUACGCAAUGGAUGGAAUUUUUUCGGUAAAAUCCGACGUAUUCAGUUUUGGGGUUUUAGUGUUAGAAAUUAUUAGUGGAAGGAGGAACAGAGGAGCAUAUGUUGAUUCCUCACACCUUAAUCUUCUUGCUCAUGUAAGUAUGUUUAAACUCAAACAAUUUAUAUUUUAACUGCUACAUUUUCUCAAACUUUUUGGAUUUAUAUGUAUAUACUUUUCGCAGGCAUGGAGUUUAUGGAAUGAGGGGAAGAGUUUGGAACUAGUAGACGAAUCUAUGGAUUAUUCCUUCCUCGCUAAUGAAGUUUUGAAAUGUGUACAAAUUGGCCUUUUAUGUGUUCAAGAGCACCCCAAGGAUCGUCCCCUGAUGUCGGCGGUCGUUUCGAUGCUUGGUAGUGAUGGAGCAUCACUGCGAACUCCGAAACAACCCGGUUUUGUAAGGAGGAUGAUUCCGACUGAGACGGAGUCGUCGUCGAGCAAGCAAGAUUCUAGCAUGUUGAAUGACGUAACUAUAACCAUGAUCGAAGGUCGGUAAAAGGAACGAUUAUACAUGUAGUUUGGCUAAAUUUCGUUUCAUAAGGAAAUGUUAUAUAUUUGAGAUUUCGUUAGGAUUUAGUUAGAUUUGUAGUUUAAUCCUAGUUGAAUUAGGAUUAAUAUUUAAAUAUAAAUUAAGAUUUAAAUAUUAAUUAGAGUAAAAUCUAAUUGGACUAGAAUUUGGGUAGCUUUUAAUGUAAGCUAUAAAUAUAGUAUAGGUGCUAUUAUUCUGAUGGCGGUUAACCACACCCAUAUGGCAUGGUCAAGAUGGUCAUGAUUUUAAAUAACCUGUGUAGUUUUCGUGACCAAUACCUCGUGCAUGGAUGCAUAGGAUGAGAGAGAGGUUUUCUGGAUUUAUAGAAGACGAGAAAAGGGUGAGAGGGAUAGAAGAGGAGUUGUAAUCGUCUCUUCUCUUAUUUAGUAAAUCUUAUUUUACCAGCAUAUUUUCUAUUUGGUUUCUCUCUCUUGUGAUUGUAUUAGCUUUUACUGAUAAGACGGAUUUAUAAUAAAAAUUUGAUUUGAGGCUUCCGUUACGGAAUCCCAAUAAUUGGUACCAAAUUAACAACAGUCGGUAUCAGAGUGAAUUGCGGAUUCUCAAAAUUUGGUAUCAGAAGGAGUAUCAUAUUCCUAACAGGCUUUGAUUUCUUUCUUUUUUUUCUUUUCUUUCCCACUUUUUGCUGGUAGGAAAAUUUAUAAAUAUGUUUACUAGCAUUGGGUUAUAUUUUUUCCAUGUUGAUGAAAUAGGCAAUUAGCUCGAAAACCUUUUGAGUUGUGCAAUUACUACAUACAUCAAAAGAACUUUAAUUCUUUCCACCAAUAUCAUGAGUACAAUUGAAGUAUCAAACAAAUUCUUGUGCAUGAGAUUAUAUUCACGGAAAGAACGUCAGAACAGUAAAAUCAAUUUCCGCAAAACCUCCAAAAAGAAAACAAAAAAGAGAAAAAAAAGUUGAUACACAUCUUUAUCUACCCUCUACAAUAGUUACAGUAACAAUAUUUGCAGUGUGGCUCUGCGACGAUGAUUCUAUAUCCGAAAAGCCCCUGCCGAUACUAAAUGCAGGCUCAUUCGGGAAUGGCAUUGAUGCAGUCUCACUACCUAGCAUCAUGGUGACUGAGGACAUCAUCGGCCUGUGUCUCGGUUGCUCCUGAACACAUAACAGUGCUACUUGUAUGCACCUCUCGACUUCGCAGGCUGCGCAUGAUGUAACUUUCGGGUCUAGGAAUUCUAAGCUCUUUCCUUCCUUCCAUAAUCUCCAAGCCUGCAAUAUGUAUAAAAGGUUCAUUUCCGUCGCUCAUUGCAAUGAGAAACCAAGUUAUAUGAAUUCUGAAAUUCCAAAUGUUAUACUUGAGAAAAAAGUUUGGACAUUAAUUUCAUUUGUGGCAUAGGGUACUCUUUCAUGAUGAAGCUUCAAUUUGUUCGCAUUGCUAGCUAUGGUGAAGAUGUGACAAGCGCGUGGUUCGUAGAAAACAUUAAGGUAAGGAUAUGUGGAUUUAAUUGUCACCUUCUCAACUAUGAGUCUUUGACAGAACUUUAACUGUAAAUCCUGAGGGUCAACUAGAGCAGUAGCUACACAUGGGACAAGAAAUUUUCAAAUUUUAUCAUACUUACAUAUCUGAGGAGGUUUAAAUCGAGCUCUGAAUGGUAAAAUCCGCGAUUUCUCUUGCCGCUGACAAUUUCUAGCACCAACACACCAAAGCUGAAUACAUCGGAUUUUAUGGAGAAAACACCAUCCAUCGCGUACUCAGGAGACAUAUAACCGCUGCAGCCGCCAAGAAAGAACAUAAAGGUUAAGCGUAGUAGAAGUCUUAAUCUUCUUUGUGAAGAUUAACACCAGAUCUUUAAUAGAAAUAUUUGAGAAUGAUUACUUACUACGUCCCGACUACCUUCCUGGUGUACGCAUCGGUUUGAUCGGCUCCAAAUAUUCUCGCAAUUCCGAAGUCCGAUAUUUUCGGUGUCAUCUCUCUAUCUAGCAAUAUAUUGCUCGCUUUUAGAUCCCUGUGUAUUAUUCUGAAUCUUGAAUCUUGAUGAAGAUACAGUAAUCCCCGCGCUAUCCCCAAAAUUAUCUCAAAGCGCUUUUCCCAGCUCAAUUGCGCGCGCUUUUCUUCAUCUGCUUAGUGUAUCAUGUCAAGUUGUUAGAAUAUAUCAUGAACAGGUCAUUGUAGAUUACAAUAUGAAUAGUGGAAGUAUUUGAAGUUUGAACCAUGAAAUUUAUAAAACAUAAAAUUGUUCUAGUUUAAGUUUCAUGAAAACAAGGGCCUAAGUCGACCAAUUUAUGCAAUUAUAUAUAAUUUGCACUAAUAGUAUGCUAUUAGAUAAGUCUAAUUUGUAUGAAACAUCAAGUUCAGGAACAUACCGAAUAUAAAGGUGUUUAAGCUUCGAUUGUGCAUGAAUUCGUAGAUCAACAUCCUCUCUUCUCCAUGAAUGCAGCAACCCAAAAGGCGCACGAGAUUUCGAUGCUGAAGCUUAGCAAUCAACUUGACCUCAUUUUUGAACUCGUCAAUGCCCUGCGACGAUCUCCUCGAGAGCCUUUUUACAGCUAUAUCCUGUCCAUCUUCAAGCUUUCCCUGAAAAAAACCAACACAUAGUUAUAAAAAUUUCCAUAAUUAUCUCCGCGCACUUUGUAUCUUAACCAUAAUUGAAUCUGCACAUCAAUCACAUUGCUCCAAGGAUUAAUUACCAUGUAAACAGGGCCGAAUCCGCCCUCUCCAAUCUUAUUAGCCAAUGCGAAACUGUCCGUAGCAUCCAAUAUCACCCCUAGAUCGAAUGUUGGAAGGUCGAGAUCUUCGUGAGUACUUGUUUCAUCUUCUAAGCUAUGAUCUUGUGUUGAGUCCUUCCCAACUUGAUUCUUGACUCUGACAGAAAUAGGCCUGUUUCCAACAUUUGGCGGAAACGAUACUAUUUCGCUUUGAUUCUUCGCCUUCUUCUUUUUCCAGAUAAAAAAUCCACAAGCUCCUAAUAGAAGCACCCCGGAAAUCGUCGGAAGGAUAAUUGCAAGUUUGUUGUUGUUGGAGUCCCCACCACUGGAAGUUGCGUUCAGAUUAGCUGAAACAAAUUGAGUCAGUUAGUUUUUCUAAUCAAUGGAGUCAAAACUUAGCUAAUUACAUAAUACAUGUCGAAAGAAGUUUUAAAUUGAGGAUAUCACAUUUUAAUAUACUAGGUAGUAACAAUCUCCAAAGUUGGUGUUCACAUAUUUUAAUGUUGGUAUUAUAUUAUUAUGAUGUCUCUAACGUGAUAUUCCACCUAACGCUCUGCAUUGCUGAAUUCAAAUACAGUGGAUAUGUACCAUCCAACGGAUAACAUUAUUAAAGUAGUAUAUUAUACAUUAAGAUAAUUUGGCAUGUCAUGAAUGAUUACUACUUAACUAAUAUUCUUUGUAAUUGGUGACUACUCUUAAAAGUUAAAAUUAGCCAAUGGAGAAUGGUCAAGCUAUUGGAAUAAAUUGAGAAAGGAUACAACUUUGAAUGAGUCAAAAAACAAGGCUACCACUUUUUCACAAGGGAGUAUCCUCUUUCACAUUUUCAUUCUAUGCCGGUUCGCCAUUAAAGUAUCAUUAGAUGAUUCCAUUGCUUAAUGAUAGAUGAUCAAAAUGGACAAAAAUGCAAGAACAGAAAAGAAAGAACAUUUAGCUAACUUUAUGUGACAAAUCGACAAUUCGAUCGAAUGAAUUUCAGGGAACGAAUUGCUUACGAAUAUCAGCCGCCGCGAGCCGGACGUAAAGAUUUUGCCCGAAUUGAUCAAACUGUCGCAUGUCGAACAAAUCGUCGGUCCAAAUUAUGCACCCACUUCCUCCCCCACUGACAUUUGCAGUAGCAUAAGCCUUGCAGGAGCAAUUCUGCAGGCAACUCUGCUUGCACUCCUCAAGACUCAAGCUCAUGUUCACCGUCGCAUUCGUCGACUCCGGCAGCUUCACAUUCUGAUACGGCAGAAACCCGUCCCCAGCGCAGCUCAACUGAGUCUUCCUCACGCACCCUCCUGACCCGUCCCUCAGAUUCCACUCCUGCGGGAACCUCGGCUCGAACCCGGGCAAACAGUUGCAGAUCGGCGAGUCGUCCACAUUGCAUACGCCGUACGGACCGCAGGCCCGAUAGUCGUCGCAAUCGUCCUUCGGGUCAGACCAGAACACACUCCAGCUUUGUGUUGAAUUGAUCCACACAUACCGCUGCAACAGCCCGGAAGAGUUCAUCACGAACCGCGAAAUGAUUGAGCUGUUCUCGAUCUCAUACGUGUAGUAGGCCUCAUCUGGGUUGGACACAAACAGAAACUUGAGCAUAUCAUUCGACUUGAGGUCGGGAACUCCGGUGAACUCCUCGCCGUUCCACGGGCCACUCGCGUAAAUCCUCGUGGACCACUGAUACAAGUAGAACUCCGGCACGCCGCGAGGAUCCAUCUUGAAUGAGUACUCUCCUGGAGAAGGAUCAUUUGUGUUCAACCACGAGUUUAUGUACCGAUUCAACCCGGUUUUGAAUUUGUAACCGAGCUUCAUUCCUGCAAACAACGUGUCCGUCGGGUGGUCGAAACUUUGCCAUACAAUCUCCUCCGUAGCAUUACUACUUGAUUCUCCUCUCAAUACAAGAUUUCCCGAGUCUAAGAGCUGAGCUGUUGGAUUGGUUAUAUUCGAUGAUCCCGAGCUGGAAUUCCAAACCACGUUGCCGAGCCGAUCGGCCAGGAAAAGAACGCCGGUCGGGUCGAGAGUGAGGACUCCGGUCGAGUUCACGAUCGGGUUCGCGCGGUUUGCGACCCACACAACGGUUUGUACCGGGAUGUUAUUGUACCACAUGCCUAAGAAAGUGUUGGAAGAGCCGGGUGGAGUGAAGAAGCCGAGCUUGUAGGCUCCGCCGGCCGAGACCAGCGUCUGGUUCGCGGCGAUUGACGUGGCCGGAGUUAGCGAAUCCGCGGCAAUCGAGGGAGAGAUGAAGAAGAUGAGAAGAGGAAGCAAAAAAUGGAGGAGAAGUGGGCAUGGCCGUGUCCUCAUAGCUCUCAAGCUAUGUUUUCACAUUGAGCACGCAUUAACAUGGCCUCUGAGAUGUUUGUGAAAUAACAGGACUCAUUUAAAUGUCAAAGCCACGUGAGGAGAAAUGUUUUUUUUUUUUGAGAAAUAAGUAACUCGCUACCCACUUCAUUCACGUGAGGAGAAAUGUUAAUUGGAAAGUAUUUGUUAUGAUGUAAAUAAAUAAAGAUUUUUUAACUGUUAGUUGCAAUUUUAAUGUGGAUAUUUGUUUUCAUGAUUUUGUUUGCGUGGUGCGCAUGACUUUCUCUUUUGUGGUGCGUGUGUGGUUUAGAAUCCGCGUCAACGUUUGUUGUUUGACCAAACCUUGUAGCCGACCCAGACAGCGUGUAUAUGUUGACGUGGUGACUCAGAAGUUAUUGCAUGCACCGGGUGUACAACUAUGUUUCAUACACCACACAUCUAAAAGGUUCUAUUGGAAAGGAUUUAAAUCAAAAUCAAAAUCUAAAUCCCGAGACCCAAGUUCGAAUCCUAGUUGAUUCACAUUUCCAGCUAAGUUUAUUUCUUAGUAAAAUAAAACGAAGCGGAUAACGUGCUACCUAUCUCUCAAAAAAAAAAAAAAAAAAGCAAAAUCUUACUCAUCAGAUAAAUAAUAGCAUUUUUCUACUGUUAAUUGUCAACAUUAAUUACUAGAUGUUUUAGUAAUAAAUUUUUUAAUUCUUAUAAUUUUUUUUAUACAGGUUGCGCCCUCGACCUUAAGACAUUUUUAGCACAAAAAUUAGGCGCAGUGCAUGAAGCAUACAGGUGCACCGUGCACAAGAUGCAGAAAAAAUUCUCUUUGUUAAUAAAAGAUCAAGUCAUAGUUUUUGUACCCUAUGAAGUGAAUCAGUUGUUUAGUUGUGUAUCCAAUGGGAACAAUUGAGAACUGGUCCCUCUCCAUAUAGCAUCCAUUCACAUUUUUAACUAGAUGGUCUAGGGAAUAAUAAUUUUAUUUAAUCAUUACUUUGAUUUUCACACAAAUUAAGUUGGUCCUAAGAAAAUUAAAAAAUAAUUAAAAAAAGAGAAGGUGGAAGGUCAUCUUACACUUCCUUGGGGGGAAAAAAUUUAUUGAUAUAACACCAAAUGUCCUGGUGCAUUCCAUCAUAUGGAAAAUGCAUCUGGGGGAAAAAUGAAUGUAGACCCCCCCCUCAAACAAAAGGUUUCAAUCAAAGUUCUAUUUUCUUUACUUUUCAUUUGAAAAAUUGUAGAUUAUUGCAUUAAAAUUUACAUUAAACACGUAAGUGACUAUAUCAAAUUUACAAGGUUUCAAUUACUUUUGAGCGAAUAAAACUGAGUAACGAUUAGUAAUAAAGCUAUUUUUUAAGAAAAAUUUCAACCUAAUUGAUUAAAAUAGUUUGAAGAUCGAAGAACUUCAAGGAAAUAUGGAUUAAAUCAAUUCUCGGUUCUAUUUCAAUUGCAAGUGCAUCGUAUCCGGCAAUUCAAGCUGUUUCGGCACCGAAUUCUGAUUAGUUGUAUUCGGGCAUCACAAUAUACAGAUCCGAUCCGAUCCGAUCCGAUCCGAUCCAAUUGCAUUCCCGUCCCGCGAUGCCGAUUCGCCGAUCUCCGCCGACUCUCCGCCCACUUCCACCACCGCCACCUUCGCCGCCUCCCACGGCCGAAACCUCUCGAAACCCUAACCCUAAUCGGCGACCAUCCUCUUCCUCCACUCCUCUACAAUGCAAUGCCCCAUUGAUUAUUGUCAAAUCGACGCAAAAGAGCGCUUUUGUCCUCUCUGCGACUCCGUGAGCACAUCGUUGAUCUUUGUGAGGUUCAUAAUUCAGUUUGAAAAUUUGUGCAUUGACAUUGAAUGCUUUGUCCUGUUGUGUAUUUUGCAGUGGAAUUAAAUGAUCACAAGUAAAUCAAUUGCCUAUUUGGUUCAGUAUAGCAUCUGGGAAACAGAAAAAUUCGGCAGCUUUUGCGGUGGCAAGACGUAAAAAAUAAGAUUUUGAGUGCCAAUAGCAAGAAGCUCCAAUUUGGAGCUUUUGAAACUGACAUGUAGAGAACCUGUUGGGGAAAUUUUAAUAUAGUGCUUCUUCUAGGGUCAAACAAGCCCUAAUUUUGUUUACAAUUUCUCUCUUUUUGUUAGUUGUGUAUGUGGCCUAACUAUGACUUCUUGGCAUGAGUAACGGUUUGUCAACUCCUUCGGUAGAUGAUUUUGCGAGGCGCUAUGAAGGUGAUAAUUUGAUAAUGAUGUUAUAUCCUUCUAAUUUAUGCAAUCUUUUCAAACUUAUGAUGUGGUGAUACAAGUCAAGUCAAACCAUUUUUUACUUUCUUUUUUUUCGCUUCUUUUAUCAAACUUAUCAGUUAAUGCUAGCCAUGAUUAAUGCAGGUCUAUAUGAUUGGGUUUCUUGGGAACUUCAAUUGCCUCCAAUAAGCUCUUCAGUAUUUGGCCUUUAAGGAGUAUAUUUCUUAUGUGUCACAGCUUUAGAUUUAAAGAAACAUUCAGGUAAGUUACUUCAUAUUUCUCAUUUAUGGAGUAUCUGUCAAAACCUAACUUUUUUUUUCCCAUAUAAUAAAGACUAUUUUAUGAGAUUGUAGCUCUAUGCUUUAAUUUAUUUCAGUUGUAUCUACAAGUAGAGUGCGCGCAUUUUGUGCUUUUAUAUCGUGGCUAUAAAUGGUGAGAUGCUUCCUGUUUAUUGUAACCUUUGAUAAGAUAUUAGGGUCUUAAUCAGACCAAAUUUGAAAAAAUGACAUGCUGUUUGUUAUUUAAUCCUGCAGCUAAUUCAGAAAGUUAUAACUUAAAUGUUAUAACUGAGCCUAUCAUGCGGAAGAUGAGAAAAGGUUCUGAUAUUUGUUCCUUCAGUUUCCUUAUCGCCCCGUUCUCUAUAAACAAACUUCUCUCUUGUUAACUUAUCUAUGUUCUUUCUUUGUACCCUUAUUAUAUUUUCUACUCUGUAUUGAUGUCUCCUGUAUUGUGUGCUAUUGAUUACUAUUUGUAUACCUGUAAAACAUGUGGGGAUAGAAUUCAUGUCUAAUUCCUGUGCACAUUCUGUAUGUUUUCAGAAAUGAAAAAGGAUUUAAAUUUGGAGUGACGUUUUGGGUAUGCCAAUACCUGAUCUGUAUUCAUUACCACCAAAAUGAUUAAAAUAUAUGAAUAUAGAGAUACUAAGCAAUUAGAAGAAUUGUGAGCAAGCGCAAGUCUGCAAAGGUAAACAAGGAAGCAAGGAAGAUUGAGGUCUUUCUCUCAAAGCCUAUUUAAAUGAUCCUUUGCAUCCUCUACCUGUGCAGAGGAACACAAUAUUGGCAGAUUGUUUCCUACCUUCAUGACAAAGGAUUCGAACAAAGCAGCCAAGAUCUCUUUCUGGAUAUAUAAAAAGCAUGUCAAAGGCGAUGUACAUAAUUAUGU
rnacentral:lncRNA from 1 species